rnacentral:tRNA from 1 species
GACGCGGUGGCUUAAUGGUUAGCGCGUUGGACUCAGGAUCGAGCGGUCCGGGUUCAAGUGCUGGCCGGGGUCA